ACCCCUCAACUUGGGAUAGCUCAGUUGGUACAGCAUGAAACUCUUUAUCUUAGGGUUGUGGGUUUGAGCCCCACUUUGGGCA